rnacentral:rRNA from 1 species
UACGUAGGUGGCAAGCGUUGUCCGGAUUUACUGGGCGUAAAGAGCGCGCAGGCGGCUGAUUAAGUCGAAUGUGAAAGCCCCCGGCUCAACUGGGGAGGGUCAUUCGAUACUGAUCGACUGGAAGGCAGGAGAGGAAAGCGGAAUUCCCGGUGUAGUGGUGAAAUGCGUAGAUAUCGGGAGGAACACCAGUGGCGAAGGCGGCUUCCUGGCCUGUUCUUGACGCUGAGGCGCGAAAGCUAGGGGAGCAAACGGGG